rnacentral:tRNA from 1 species
UUUAAUAUGGCAGAAUUUUAGUGCAAAGGAUUUAAAACCCUUAAAUAAAGAUAUUAUCUUUUAUUAAAA